AUUGAACGCUGGCGGCAGGCCUAACACAUGCAAGUCGAGCGGAUGAAGGGAGCUUGCUCCUGGAUUCAGCGGCGGACGGGUGAGUAAUGCCUAGGAAUCUGCCUGGUAGUGGGGGAUAACGUCCGGAAACGGGCGCUAAUACCGCAUACGACCUGAGGGAGCAAGUGGGGGGUCUUCGGACCUCACGCUAUCAGAUGAGCCUAGGUCGGAUUAGCUAGUUGGUGGGGUAAAGGCCUACCAAGGCGACGAUCCGUGACUGGUCUGAGUGGAUGAUCAGUCACACUGGAACUGAGACACGGUCCAGACGCCUACGGGACGCAGCAGUGGGGAAUAUUAGACAAUGGGCGAAAGCCUGACCCAACGAGGCGGCGUGUGUGAAGAAAGUGUUCGGAGUGUAAAGCACGUUAAGUUGGUAGGAAGCGCAGUAAGUUAAUACCUAGCUGUUUUGACGUUACCAACAGAAUAAGCACCGGCUAACUUCGUG
rnacentral:rRNA from 1 species